UGAACUGGAGCAGAGGACGUCACCAUGGAAACGGGGCUCAGCCCAACUGUCAAGCAGCUGAACGGAAGCUGUCUCUCAUGGUUGUUUUCUCUCAUUUCAGAGAUGGGCAGUGUCUUCAGAAAAAGUCCGUUAGCACCGUAAUGCUAACUACAAGAGAUUGUUUAUGUUCUAGAUUCUUCCAUGCUGAUGGCCGUGCAUGUAUCCAGCUGAAGAACAUUUUUAGACAUUAUGAAACAUAUGACUAAAUUAAGCUCCAACCCCAGUUAAACAGAUCUGAGCAGCUGAUCAAGGAUCAGCAGAAACUCUGCAGAACGGUGCUCCUCCAGCCCAGGACUGGACACCAGUGUUAUGCUGGAGAAAAAACAGUGAGGCUAAAGCAUUCAAAGUGGAAACAUCUGCCGUGGCUCAUUAAUCCAGAAUUGGGAUGGAGGAAGGAGGAGAAGAAGCAGAAGAUCAGAGAUCAGGCAGAGAUCUACUGGUGCCCCUGUGGGAAACCAUUUACCUAAUGUGUUAGUUAAACCAAAGAUUUUCAUCACUCACCUUUACGUUGUUCCAAGCCAGACUUUUGUUCAUCUUUGAAACAUAAAUGCAGAACUUUUUAAUGAAAUCUGAGAAUUUUUUUUAUUUAUAUAAAAUAACGCAUUCACACAAGCACCAUGAUGCAUCAGUGUUGCAUUGGCGUGAGAGCUGGCGCUUUUGGUGCUUUUUGUGAAAAUCCAUUGGGGAUUCCUAAUUUCUGAAUAGAUUUUUUUUGCUGUUGUUGUUGUUUUUUGCGUACACAAGGCAUCUGUUAAAAAAAAUAUCUUCAUUUGUGUUCUGCACAAAAGGGUGUUAUGGGUUUGGGGCAACAUGAGGGUAAGAAAUUAAUGACAGAAUUUAAAUUUUUGGUUGUUCUAAUGUGGUUAUAAUUGUUCAUAGUUUAUUGUCUUGAAAAAUUGUAUUUAUACAGAAAGUUUGAUUAAUUUGAUAAGUUUAUAGUAAAGACUUUUAAAUUGAUAUAAAAAAUCAAAAUAAAUACUACUCUUUUGCAAGGUCUAUUAAAAAUAAUACUGAUGUAAUGGUUUCCACAAAAUAUUGGGCAGCACAACUGUUUUAAACAUUGAUAAUAAUCAGAAAUGUUUCUUGAGCAGCAAAUCAUAUAUUAUAAUGAUUUCUGAAGAUCAUGUAACACUGAAGACUGGAGUAAUUGUGUUAAAAAUUCAGUUUACAGUCAUAAAUUACAUUUUACACUGCAUCCACAUAGAAAACAAUUAUUUCUGUAAUUAUAUUUCACAAUAUUACUGUUUUUACGGUCUGUUUAAUCAAAGGAGGCUUAAGAUGUGAUCAAGAAUUUACAUGAAAGAUGUAAUGUGUCAAUAAAUGUGUCAAUAUACCGUGAAUUGUCUCAUUUUCACUAAUUAGGAAUAUGAAAAAUAAUGCACGGUUGUUAUUAGGUCCGAAGUCUUUUCAACUUUAACUUUACAACCAUAUUUAGACGUAAUUUUGACGUCUUUUUAUAGACGUCUUUUCACGACCUGAAAAAGACAUCGUUUCAUCUUUCACUUUUCAACGAGUUUUUGCUGGGUCAGAUCGGGACUUCAGAGCGGGUCCGCGAAUCAUUUGAGUCAUUUGAGUCAGAUCGCGACUUCAGAGCGGGUUCGCGAAUCAUUUGCGUCAUUUGAGUCAGAUCGCGACUUCAGAGCGGGUCCGCGAAUCAUUUGAGUCAUUUGAGUCAGAUCGCGACUUCAGAGCGGGUCCGCGAAUCAUUUGAGUCAUUUGAGUCAGAUCGCGACUUCAGAGCGGGU